UGAAUACGAGAUGCUACGGCGUCGAAGCAGUGUAUGUCAGACUUCCAAGAAAAGCUCGCAAUGUCAUAAAUAAAGAAUGCCUGUACCAUAACCGACACAGGUGGGUAGGUAGAGUAUACUAAGGGGCGCGAGAUAACUCUCUCUAAGGAACUCGGCAAAAUAACUCCGUAACUUCGGGAGAAGGAGUGCCUUCUUUAAGAAGGUUGCAAUAACAAGAUCCAAGCAACUGUUUAUCAAAAACACAGGUCUCCGCUAAGUCGUAAGACGAUGUAUGGGGGCUGACGCCUGCCCAGUGCCAGAAGGUUAAAGAAGUUGGUUAGCUUUUGCGAAGCUGAUGACUGAAGCCCUGGUGAACGGCGGCCGUAACGAUAACGGUCCUAAGGUAGCGAAAUUCCUUGUCGGGUAAGUUCCGACCCGCACGAAAGGCGUAAUGAUUUGGAUACUGUCUCGGAGAGGGACUCGGUGAAAUAGACUUGUCUGUGAAGAUGCGGACUACCUGCACCAGGACAGAAAGACCCUAUGAAGCUUUACUGUAACUUGAAAUUGAAAUUGGACUUUAUUUGCGCAGUAUAGGUGGAAGGCGUUGAAAGUAAUCUUGCGGGAUUAGUGGAGCCAUCAGUGAGAUACCACUCCUAUAAUGUUAGAUUUCUAACUUUGGAUCAUGAUCUGGUCAAAGAACAGUUUCAGGCGGGCAGUUUGACUGGGGCGGUCGCCUCCCAAAUGGUAACGGAGGCGUACAAAGGUUUCCUCUGAACGGGUAGAAAUCGUAUCUAGAGUGUAAAGGCAUAAGGAAGCUUGACUGUGAGACCUACAAGUCGAGCAGGGACGAAAGUCGGUCUUAGUGAUCUGACGGUGCUGAGUGGAAAGGCCGUCACUCAACGGAUAAAAGUUACUCUAGGAUAACAGGCUGAUCUCCCCCAAGAGUUCACAUCGACGGGGAGGUUUGGCACCUCGAUGUCGGCUCAUCGCAUCCUGGGGCGGUAGUACGUCCGAAGGGUUGGGCUGUUCGCCCAUGAAAGCGGUACGCGAGCUGGGUUCAGAACGUCGUGAGACAGUUCGGUCCAUAUCCGGUGUAGGCGUUAGAAUAUUGAGAGGAGCCUUCUUUAGUACGAGAGGACCGAGAAGGACAUACCUCUGGUGUACCAGUUAUCGUGCCAACGGUAAACGCUGGGUAGCUAUGUAUGGAGAGGAUAACCGCUGAAAGCAUCUAAGUGGGAAGCCCACCUCAAGAUGAUUGCUCUCACAGGGUUAACCUGGUAAGGUCACGGGAAGACCACCCGUCGAUAGGCACUCGGUGGAAGUCCAGCAAUGGAUGAAGCCAAGGUGUACUAACAGACCGAGGGCUUGA
rnacentral:rRNA from 1 species